rfam:Papio anubis isolate 1X1155 chromosome 5, whole genome shotgun sequence.
GAAAAAGUCAUAGAAGUUAUGAGGUUGGCUUGAAACCAGUUUUAGGGGGUUUGAUUCCUUCCUUUUUCA